rnacentral:rRNA from 1 species
AUUGAACGCUGGCGGCAGGCCUAACACAUGCAAGUCGAGCGGAUGAAGGGAGCUUGCUCCUGGAUUCAGCGGCGGACGGGUGAGUAAUGCCUAGGAAUCUGCCUGGUAGUGGGGGAUAACGUCCGGAAACGGGCGCUAAUACCGCAUACGUCCUGAGGGAGAAAGUGGGGGAUCUUCGGACCUCACGCUAUCAGAUGAGCCUAGGUCGGAUUAGCUAGUUGGUGGGGUAAAGGCCUACCAAGGCGACGAUCCGUAACUGGUCUGAGAGGAUGAUCAGUCACACGGGAACUGAGACACGGUCCAGACUCCUACGGGAGGCAGCAGUGGGGAAUAUUGGACAAAGGGCGAAAGCCUGAUCCAGCCAUGCCGCGUGUGUGAAGAAGGUCUUCGGAUUGUAAAGCACUUUAAGUUGGGAGGAAGGGCAGUAAGUUAAUACCUUGCUGUUUUGACGGUACCAACAGAAUAAGCACCGGCUAACUUCGUG